ACACAUGCAAGUCGAACGGGGUGCUCAUGACGGAGGAUUCGUCCAACGGAUUGAGUUACCUAGUGGCGGACGGGUGAGUAACGCGUGAGGAACCUGCCUUGGAGAGGGGAAUAACACUCCGAAAGGAGUGCUAAUACCGCAUGAUGCAGUUGGGUCGCAUGGCUCUGACUGCCAAAGAUUUAUCGCUCUGAGAUGGCCUCGCGUCUGAUUAGCUAGUAGGCGGGGUAACGGCCCACCUAGGCGACGAUCAGUAGCCGGACUGAGAGGUUGACCGGCCACAUUGGGACUGAGACACGGCCCAGACUCCUACGGGAGGCAGCAGUGGGGAAUAUUGGGCAAUGGGCGCAAGCCUGACCCAGCAACGCCGCGUGAAGGAAGAAGGCUUUCGGGUUGUAAACUUCUUUUGUCGGGGACGAAACAAAUGACGGUACCUGACGAAUAAGCCAUGGCUAACUACGUGCCAGCAGCCGCGGUAAUACGUAGGUGGCAAGCGUUAUCCGGAUUUACUGGGUGUAAAGGGCGUGUAGGCGGGAUUGCAAGUCAGAUGUGAAAACUGGGGGCUCAACCUCCAGCCUGCAUUUGAAACUGUAGUUCUUGAGUGCUG
rnacentral:rRNA from 1 species